rnacentral:rRNA from 1 species
CGAGGGGUGCAAGCGUUAUUCGGAAUUACUGGGCGUAAAGGGUGCGUAGACGGUUUAUUAAGUCUUUUGUUAAAUACCUCGGCCUAACUGAGGAUCAGCGAGAGAUACUGGUAAACUUGAGGAUGGAAGAGAGAAGUGGAAUUCUCGGAGUAGCGGUAAAAAUGCGUAGAUCUCGAGAGGAACACCGAUGGUGAAAGCAGCUUCUUGGUCCAUAUCUGACGUUGAGGCACGAAAGCGUGGGGAGCAAACAGGAUUAGAUACCCUGGUAGUCCACGCUGUAAACGAUGAUCACUAGACGUCGGUCUUGCGUUGCAAGAUCGGUGUCGUAGCUAACGCGUUAAGUGAUCCGCCUGGGGAGUACGGUCGCAAGACUA